CCUGUCUGUUUUGUUAGUUCUCUGCCAGAUUGUUAUGAUACUCGCUCUUGGGUCCAGUGUUCUGAUGCCUGACAGAUGUAUCCUUCACCAGCAAUUGCUCCUGACCCUGUGAAGAGUGUGUGAAGGGAGAACAAGAGGAAGUUCAAUAUGGGAAGUGAAAAAACACACUGAACAGUACAGCAGAAAGAACAAGAAGGGUCAGUCUGCGGCCCCAGGUGGAUGCGGACGGCCUUCACCAGCAUGUGGACGAAUCGGCCCAGCAGGAAGACCAGACACAGGAUACACGGCCACUGCAGCACUGGCUUCUGGAACCUUCCGAGGAUCUGCCCGCACAUGGAGACAGAGCCAAAAUGUUUAUAGCAUUUGGAGGCCCCAAAAUUAAGGAAUCUGGUGUCAAUGAAUCUGGUAUUGUUAUUUGGUGCUAGGCAGCCUGGAGUGCACAACAAGAGAUACAAUGAACAUGGUGAACUACGGACCAGGGACCCCGCUGAAAGAACGGGGCCAUGCUAGCAGAUGCUGACAUGCUAUCUGACAUAUCUGUACUGUCGUACAAUUCUCAUACAAACCUACACACAUACAGUAGACACAAACACACAUACAUAUUCACAUACAAAUCUAUGCCAUACAGUUAGUAAGUAGAUGAAGUGUUGACCUACAUUGCCAGCAGGGCAGGUGACAGUGUCCCACAGUGUUACUAAAACCCUGUAAAUAAAGUGGCAAUCAAAUAAAUAAGUAAACACGAAUGACAUGCCCAAAGAGAAGAUGAAAUUACACUUUGGUAUUAAAUGUGCCAAUGUAAUAAAAAAUAAUC